rnacentral:rRNA from 1 species
UACAGAGGUGGCAAGCGUUGUUCGGAAUUACUGGGCGUAAAGGGCGCGUGGGCGGCCUUCUAAGUCAGACGUGAAAUCCCCCGGCUUAACCUGGGAACUGCGUCUGAUACUGGAGGGCUUGAGUGCGGGAGAGGGAUGUGGAAUUCCAGGUGUAGCGGUGAAAUGCGUAGAUAUCUGGAGGAACACCGGUGGCGAAGGCGGCAUCCUGGACCGACACUGACGCUGAGGCGCGAAAGCUAGGGUAGCAAACGGG